rnacentral:tRNA from 1 species
GGGCCGGUAUACGCCUUGGUCGCGCUCCUGCUCCGAUCGCCUUACAAGCGAGAUGUCACUGGUUCGAACCCAGUAGUGCCCACCA